rnacentral:rRNA from 1 species
GAUGAACGCUGGCGGCGUGCCUAAUACAUGCAAGUCGAGCGAACAGACGAGGAGCUUGCUCCUCUGACGUUAGCGGCGGACGGGUGAGUAACACGUGGAUAACCUACCUAUAAGACUGGGAUAACUUCGGGAAACCGGAGCUAAUACCGGAUAAUAUAUUGAACCGCAUGGUUCAAUAGUGAAAGACGGUUUUGCUGUCACUUAUAGAUGGAUCCGCGCCGCAUUAGCUAGUUGGUAAGGUAACGGCUUACCAAGGCAACGAUGCGUAGCCGACCUGAGAGGGUGAUCGGCCACACUGGAACUGAGACACGGUCCAGACUCCUACGGGAGACAGCAGUAGGGAAUCUUCCGCAAUGGGCGAAAGCCUGACGGAGCAACGCCGCGUGAAUGAUGAAGGUCUUCGGAUCGUAAAACUCUGUUAUUAGGGAAGAACAAAUGUGUAAGUAACUAUGCACGUCUUGACGGUACCUAAUCAGAAAGCCACGGCUAACUACGUG